GAUGAACGCUGGCGGCGUGCCUAAUACAUGCAAGUCGAGCGAACAGAUGAGGAGCUUGCUCCUCUGACGUUAGCGGCGGACGGGUGAGUAACACGUGGAUAACCUACCUAUAAGACUGGGAUAACUUCGGGAAACCGGAGCUAAUACCGGAUAAUAUAUUGAACCGCAUGGUUCAAUAGUGAAAGACGGUUUUGCUGUCACUUAUAGAUGGAUCCGCGCCGCAUUAGCUAGUUGGUAAGGUAACGGCUUACCAAGGCAACGAUGCGUAGCCGACCUGAGAGGGUGAUCGGCCAAACUGGAACUGAGACACGGUCCAGACUCCUACGGGAGGCAGCAGUAGGGAAUCUUCCGCAAUGGGCGAAAGCCUGACAGUGCAACGCCGCGUGAGUGAUGAAGGUCUUCGGAUCGUAAAACUCUGUUAUUAGGGAAGAACAAAUGUGUAAGUAACUAUGCACGUCUUGACGGUACCUAAUCAGAAAGCCACGGCUAACUACGUG
rnacentral:rRNA from 1 species